UCCAAAGGCUGAUGAUUUUCAUCUGGUUAGCUACUAACCUAUAACUGGAGCAAGAUUAAUGAGUGCUAGGCCAUGUCCACAGGCAAGGAGCCUCACACUACACCUAGGGUCCCUGCUAAUCAGAUCUGGGUCUACAGUUAUGCCUAGGAUUAUAGAUCCUUAGUAACCAUAUGCUGUCACAAUGAGGCAGGGACUAAACUUAACGGUUGCCAGGUCGCCUAAUGCAACUAAAUUUUUGGCUUGGUGAAUAUAUAUAUCAUCAAGUUUGCCAAGCUGGCGACAAACAAUAUUUUGCAUUGAAUCCCAUGUCUAUCCUUUCCCCACUUUAUACUUUGGUCAAUGAGGAAAAUGACAGCUUAAGCAAUAUUGAUAGACAGAUGCCAAGUGAUAACUUUUGAGACCUACAUGACAUGUAAGCACACAGGAGACGAUGAAUGCCAAGUGACGCCCCUAACACAUUCUAUGUAAUCCUGGAUACUACUAGUGGUGAAUUUCGUAAUGGUCAUUUAUUUAUAAAACACCACUGGGUUGCUGAGAAAUGUUCCUACAUUCAGUGAAAUAUUGAAGGUGGUAGAUUGGGGUGGAUGGUGGGUGAAAUUGAAAACUUAUUCCUAUCAUAGAGUAAACGUCCUUUGUAUUCAACAGCCAAAUCAAAAGUGAGAAGCUGGCAGCCUGCAAUUGUUACAAUUUAUACUUUUGUCCUGGAGGAAAAUGACAGCUUAAGUAAUAUUGAUAAAUGGAUGCCAAGUGGCGACUUGAGACCUACAUGUGACAUGUAAGCACAUAGGAGAAAAUGAAUGCCAACUGCCAUUUUGAAUUUGAAAGAUAGCUAAAUCAAAACAAAAUCUUGUUAAGUACACCAAAUCAUUCAAAUAUGUUGAAUUUUGUGUUUCCAGCAUCAAAUCCACUGUGGGUUGUGUAAUACUUGAAAAUAUUUUAAAAUGUAUGACAGCCAUAUUGAAAUAAGCCCCA
rnacentral:lncRNA from 1 species